GAUGAAGAACGAAGCGAAAUGCGAUAAGUAGUGUGAAUUGCAGAAUUCAGUGAAUCAUCGAAUCUUUGAACGCACAUUGCGCCCUUUGGUAUUCCUUAGGGCAUGCCUGUUCGAGCGUCAUUUAAACCUUCAAGCUAAGCUUGGUGUUGGGUGACUGUCCGCUUCACGGCGGACUCGCCUCAAAAUUAUUGGCGGCCGGUACAUUGGCUUCGAGCGCAGCAGAAACGCGAACUCGGGCCCGUCGUAUUGGCUCCCAGAAGCUAUCUUCACAAUUUUAACCUCGGAUCAGGUAGGGAUACCCGCUGAACUUAAGCAUAUCAAUAAGCGGAGGA
rnacentral:misc_RNA from 1 species